rnacentral:rRNA from 1 species
UACGUAGGUGGCGAGCGUUGUCCGGAUUUAUUGGGCGUAAAGCGCAUGCAGGCGGUUGGCUAAGUCCGAUGUGAAAUCUCUCGGCUUAACUGGGAGGAGUCAUCGGAUACUGGCCGGCUUGAGGAAGGUAGAGGAGAGUAGAAUUCCCGGUGUAGUGGUGGAAUGCGUAGAUAUCGGGAGGAAUACCAGUGGCGAAGGCGGCUCUCUGGGCCUUUCCUGACGCUGAGAUGCGAAAGCGUGGGGAGCGAACCGGG